CCUCCGCUAGCCCAAUCGGUAGAGGCAGUGGACUCAAAAUCCAUUCAGUCCCGAUUCGAAUUCGGGGCGGAGGACCA
rnacentral:tRNA from 1 species